UGUCUUUUAUUUGUUUAGCGUCCAAGAUGCUGAUGGAGGCUUCUUUGAAAAUUUCACAGCGUUGUCGUGGAAACAGGAAAAUAGACGUUUACAGGCGGCAAGAGCGCGUGAAGCAGAAAAGGACCAAUUGCCUCCUGCAGAACCUGACUUGGGGAUAACAGCUCCAGAAUUCAAGAUUGCCAAGAAAGAACCUCCCAUACCAGUGUUGAACGUUGUUGUCGUUGAAGCCCAAGGUCUGGAAGCCAAAGACCCCAAUGGUCAGUCAACCGAUCAGUUGU